UACGAAGGGUGCAAACGUUGCUCGGAAUUAUUGGGCGUAAAGCGUCCGCAGGUGGCUGUUCAAGUCUGCUGUCAAAGCGCAGAGCUUAACUCUGUACAGGCGGUGGAAACUGAAGAGCUAGAGUAUGGUAGGGGUAGAGGGAAUUCCCGGUGUAGCGGUGAAAUGCGUAGAUAUCGGGAGGAACAUCAGUGGCGAAAGCGACUUCCUGGACCAGUACCGACGUUCAGGCACGAAAGCGUGGGGAGCAAACAGG
rnacentral:rRNA from 1 species